rnacentral:rRNA from 1 species
ACGAACGCUGGCGGCAGGCUUCAUACAUGCAAGUCGAACGGAAAGGCCUCCUUCGGGAGGUACUCGAGUGGCGAAAGGGGGAGUAACAGGGGGAUGAUCUACCUUCCGGUGGGGGAUAACUCCGCGAAAGUGGGGCUAAUACCGCGUACGGUUGUCCGGAUAGAACCGGGCAAAGAAAGGCGCUUCUUGCCCCGCCGAAAGAUGGGUCCGCCUCCCAUUAGCUAGUUGGUGUGAUAACAGCGCACCAAGGCAACGAUGGGUAGCCGAGCUGAGAGGUUGAUCGGCCACACUGGAACUGAGAUACGGUCCAGACACCUACGGGUGGCAGCAGUGCGGAAUAUUGCGCAAUGAGCGAAAGCUUGACGCAGCCAUGCCGCGUGGACGAUGAAUGCCUUCGGGUUGUAAAGUCCUUUUCUGAGGGAAGAACAUCCAGGGGAGGAAAUGACCCUGGCCUGACGGUACCUUAGGAAUAAGCAACGGCUAACUCCGUGCCAGCAGCCGCGGUAAUACGGAGGUUGCAAGCGUUGUUCGGAUUUACUGGGCGUAAAGGGAGCGCAGGCGGCUUGGUCAGUCUAAAGUGAAAGUCCGGGGCUCAACCCCGGAAGUGCUUUGGAUACUGCCUAGCUUGAGUAUGUGAGAGGUGAGCGGAAUUUCAGGUGUAGCGGUGAAAUGCGUAGAUAUCUGAAGGAACAUCGGUGGCGAAAGCGGCUCACUGGCACAAAACUGACGCUGAGGCUCGAAAGCGUGGGGAGCGAACGGGAUUAGAUACCCCGGUAGUCCACGCCGUAAACGUUGUGCACUAGGUGUGGGAGGUAUCGACCCCUUCCGUGCCGAAGCUAACGCAUUAAGUGCACCGCCUGGGGAGUACGCACGCAAGUGUGAAACUCAAAGGAAUUGACGGGGGCCCGCACAAGCGGUGGAGCAUGUGGUUUAAUUCGAGGCAACGCGAAGAACCUUACCCAGGCUUGACAUCCCGUGACAUCCAUGGAAACAUGGCUUUCUCUCUUCGGAGACACAGAGACAGGUGUUGCAUGGCUGUCGUCAGCUCGUGUCGUGAGAUGUUGGGUUAAGUCCCGCAACGAGCGCAACCCCUGUCCCUAGUUACCAGCGGUUCGGCCGGGCACUCUAGGGAGACUGCCGGCGAUAAGCCGGAGGAAGGUGGGGAUGACGUCAAGUCAUCAUGGCCCUUACGCCUGGGGCGACACACGUGCUACAAUGGCCGGUACAGUGGGCCGCAAGGCCGCGAGGUGGAGCGAAUCCCAAAAAGCCGGCCUCAGUUCGGAUUGGAGUCUGCAACUCGACUCCAUGAAGUUGGAAUCGCUAGUAAUCGCGUAUCAGCCACGACGCGGUGAAUACGUUCCCGGGCCUUGUACACACCGCCCGUCACAUGACCCGAGUCGGUUGCACCCGAAGUCGCUGGCCCAACCCGCAAGGGAGGGAGGUGCCGAAGGUGUGAUUGGUAAGGGGGAUGA